GAUGAACGCUAGCUACAGGCUUAACACAUGCAAGUCGAGGGGCAGCAUGGUCUUAGCUUGCUAAGGCCGAUGGCGACCGGCGCACGGGUGAGUAACACGUAUCCAACCUGCCGUCUACUCUUGGACAGCCUUCUGAAAGGAAGAUUAAUACAAGAUGGCAUCAUGAGUCCACAUGUUCACAUGAUUAAAGGUAUUCCGGUAGACGAUGGGGAUGCGUUCCAUUAGAUAGUAGGCGGGGUAACGGCCCACCUAGUCUUCGAUGGAUAGGGGUUCUGAGAGGAAGGUCCCCCACAUUGGAACUGAGACACGGUCCAAACUCCUACGGGAGGCAGCAGUGAGGAAUAUUGGUCAAUGGGCGAGAGCCUGAACCAGCCAAGUAGCGUGAAGGAUGACUGCCCUAUGGGUUGUAAACUUCUUUUAUAAAGGAAUAAAGUCGGGUAUGGAUACCCGUUUGCAUGUACUUUAUGAAUAAGGAUCGGCUAACUCCGUGCCAGCAGCCGCGGUAAUACGGAGGAUCCGAGCGUUAUCCGGAUUUAUUGGGUUUAAAGGGAGCGUAGAUGGAUGUUUAAGUCAGUUGUGAAAGUUUGCGGCUCAACCGUAAAAUUGCAGUUGAUACUGGAUAUCUUGAGUGCAGUUGAGGCAGGUGGAAUUCGUGGUGUAGCGGUGAAAUGCUUAGAUAUCACGAAGAACUCCGAUUGCGAAGGCAGCCUGCUAAGCUGCAACUGACAUUGAGGCUCGAAAGUGUGGGUAUCAAACAGGAUUAGAUACCCUGGUAGUCCACACGGUAAACGAUGAAUACUCGCUGUUUGCGAUAUACAGCAAGCGGCCAAGCGAAAGCGUUAAGUAUUCCACCUGGGGAGUACGCCGGCAACGGUGAAACUCAAAGGAAUUGACGGGGGCCCGCACAAGCGGAGGAACAUGUGGUUUAAUUCGAUGAUACGCGAGGAACCUUACCCGGGCUUAAAUUGCAGAUGAAUUACGGUGAAAGCCGUAAGCCGCAAGGCAUCUGUGAAGGUGCUGCAUGGUUGUCGUCAGCUCGUGCCGUGAGGUGUCGGCUUAAGUGCCAUAACGAGCGCAACCCUUGUUGUCAGUUACUAACAGGUUCCGCUGAGGACUCUGACAAGACUGCCAUCGUAAGAUGUGAGGAAGGUGGGGAUGACGUCAAAUCAGCACGGCCCUUACGUCCGGGGCUACACACGUGUUACAAUGGGGGGUACAGAGGGCCGCUACCACGCGAGUGGAUGCCAAUCCCAAAAACCUCUCUCAGUUCGGACUGGAGUCUGCAACCCGACUCCACGAAGCUGGAUUCGCUAGUAAUCGCGCAUCAGCCACGGCGCGGUGAAUACGUUCCCGGGCCU
rnacentral:rRNA from 1 species